UACGGAGGAUGCAAGUGUUAUCCGGAAUCACUGGGCGUAAAGCGUCUGUAGGUGGUUGCUAAGUCCGCUGUUAAAGCUUGAAGCUCAACUUCGAAAAUGCAGUGGAAACUAGUAGACUUGAGUGUGGUAGGGGUAGAGGGAAUUUCCAGUGAAGUGGUGAAAUGCGUAGAUAUUGGAAAGACCACCAAUGGCGAAGGCACUCUACUGGGCCACAACUGACACUGGAGAGACGAAAGCUAGGGGAGCGAAUGGAUGA
rnacentral:rRNA from 1 species